AUGGAUCUGUUUCUGGCCCAGCAGGGCAGUGACUGCAGCCCAGGGUCAGGGGAAAGCACCCGCGAGCCGCCCCUGUGCUGGACUGGACGGCGGGCAGCACCGGCCACAGCCUCAGCCUCCAGCCAGGGCCUGUCCGUGUUCCCCCUGACCCCCUGCUGCAAGGAUAUGGCCGGCGCCACCUCGGUGAGUCUGGGCUGCCUGGUCUCGGGCUCCCUCCCGACGCCGGUGACCGUGACCUGGGACACGGGGUCCCUAAACAAGAGUGUCGCCACCGUCCCCGCCACCUUCGACCAGACCUCCGGCCUCCACAACACCAUCAGCCAGGUGACCUCCUGGGGCGAGUGGGCCAAGCACACGUUCACUUGCAGCGUGGCUCACGCGGCGUCCCCCGCCAUCAACAAGACCUUCAGAGCCUGCGCCACGAACUUCCGCCCGCCCUCCGUGAAGCUCUUCCACUCCUCCUGCGACCCUCUGGGCGACACGCACACCACCAUCCAGCUCCUGUGUCUCAUCUCCGGCUACGUCCCGGGGGACAUGGAGGUCAUCUGGCUGGUGGACGGGCAGAGGGUCACAAACAUGUUCUCCUACACCGCGCCCGGCACACAGGAGGGCAACGUGACCUCCACGCACAGCGAGCUCAACAUCACCCAGGGCGACUGGGUGUCCCAGAAAACCUACACCUGCCGGGUCAGCUACCAGGGCUUCCACUUUGAGGACCACGCGCUCAAGUGCACAGAGUCCGACCCCCGCGGCGUGAGCGGCUACCUGAGCCCGCCCAGCCCUCUGGACCUGUACGUCCACAAGUCGCCCAAGAUCACCUGCCUGGUGGUGGACCUGGCCAGCACGGAGGGCAUGAGCCUGACCUGGUCCCGGGACAGCGGGGAGCCCGUGCACCCAGACGGACUGAAGGAGGAGACGCAGUUCAACGGGACGGUCAGCGUCACGUCCACCCUGCCGGUGGACACACAGGACUGGAUCGAGGGCGAGACCUACCACUGCACGGUGAACCACCCAGACCUGCCCAAGAGCCUCGUGCGCUCCAUUGCCAAGACCCCCGGCCAGCGAGCGGCCCCGGAGGUCUACGUGUUCCUGCCCCCGGAGGAGGACGAGGGCACCACGGACAGGGUCACGCUCACGUGCCUGAUCCAGAACUUCUUUCCCGCGGACAUCUCGGUGCAGUGGCUUCGAAACGACAGGCCCAUGCAGGCGGGCCAGCAGGCCACCACGCGGCCCCACACGGUCCCGGGCGCCCGGCGCGCCUUCUUCGUCUUCAGCCGCCUGGAGGUCAGCCGGCAGGACUGGGAGGAGCAGAACAGCUUCGCCUGCCAAGUGGUGCACGAGGCACUGCCCAAUUCGCGAGUCUUCAAGAAAACGGUCUCCAAAACCCCGGAGCUGGCGCUCCAGGAGCUGUGUGCGGAGGCCGCCGAGAGCGCGGAGCUGGACGAGCUGUGGGCCAGCCUGCUCGCCUUCAUCACCCUCUUCCUGCUCUGCGUCAGCUACGGCGCCGCCGUCUCCCUGCUCAAGGUGAAGUGGGUCCUGGCCGCCGCGCUGCAGGAGAAGCCACAGGCCGCCCGAGACUACGCCAACGUCGCACGGCAGGCCGACUAG